ACCCAACAAUUCCCUCAAAGCUCAUGUGCGUACUCUGCUGCCAGGUUUACACAGCCACAGCCAUGCCUGCACAUCUUCCUUGCAGUGGCGGGAAGUGGCCUGAUGAGUCAGCACUCCUGGAGGGCAUUUUGCUGGGCCAGUUCACUCUGCAGUGGCAUCACCUCCUUGUGAACAAAUACAGGAAGGUGGCUGGGCUGGGGGUGAAGCAACCUGAGGUAAUUUUCUAUAUUUUGUAAGAAAUCUCCAUACCUUUUUCUUUUUUCUCCUCUGUGUAUUUUCAAAUCACCUGCCUUUGAGUUUGAGCUGGCUACAAAGGUUGAAUUCCAUAAGUUAGAUUCAUGGUUAACAUUUUAAUUUUACUUUCUCAGACUCUUGUUUCAAUAAUGGCACUGAGUCUGUAGCGAGGGCCAUGCACUGUCUGUCUGAAAGUGCUCCAGGCACAGGCUUUGUGUCCAAGUUAAAAGAUAGUCUGUAUAUCACUAAAACAGAAGAGUUGGCCGCCCUGAGGAUGAGGCCUUUGGGUCUCCAGGCAUUUGCCAGCUCUCCUAGCCUAGGGGCAGGGGCGCCUGCACAGCCCUCUGGGGCAACAGAGCAAGACUCUGUCUCAAAAAAGAAAAAGAAAAUAGAGUGAUAUGAAAUGAUUUACCUUUGUAAAUGUUGCCAGUGUUUCUGCAGACUGGGGGAACACCUUAUCCUCAGUUUACAUGUUUACAUCAUAUGGCUGGUGGCAUGUGAGUUUGUGACUUCUGUCUCCAUCCCCCUAGCGGUUAAGAAUAAGAAUCUGAGGUCCAAGAGCUGUCCCACCUGUACUAAAAAUACAAAAAUUAGCCGGGCAUGGUGGCAGGCGCCUGUAAUCCCAGCUCGGGGAAAAAAAAAAAAGCUGAUUUUUUUUUUUCCCAGAGAGAUUAUAGGUCCGGGAACUGUCCUUCCCAAGUCCCCCGGUCCCCGACAGGGGAUCACUCACCUUCCGACCAGCGCACUCCCCAGUAGGAGCCGCAGGACUGGGACCCGCGUCUCCCCAAGGACCGCUCUAGGACGGGGAGGCUGUGCUGAGAGGAGGGACGCCCCUGCCCUGCGCCUCCCGCUCCCCAUCUCUGGCUGGUAUCCCGGUUACAGAAUGAGGGUCCGUGGUGCAACAGAAUGGCUAUAAAAACGCAACCCGGGGGGUGCCUGUGAAGGAAAUCUGCGUCCCGCGGAACGCAACACUCAGACAUUUAUUGGUUCAUUCAUUCGUUCAUUUUGCUGUAACUCACAGUGGCCCUCCAGAUCCUGGGAACAACUUUCAUUUAGGAAUGGAACAGCAGGUCCUGGGAGCAUUGGCGCCUGAAUGGUGGUAGAUUCCAGGACAGUUCAGUAGGAGCCCAUCCUCAAAAGGAAAAUAACAGAACUUCCUGCUAAUCUGAAUGAGAUAAAAUCAGCUCCAACGACAAACAUCAUCUCUGGGGGUUUCCAGAUUCUCACUUUUCAUUUAAUCCCCAGCCUUAGUGGAAAGCAAGAGUCGAUGGUGCUAAGGUAAAGCUAAACUAGCUGAGCCACCUCCUGAAGAGGAGUGCUGUGCAACCAUUACAACUAUUUAUUUUCAAAACGUUUUCAUCAUCCCAAAUAGAAACACUUGGGUCAGGGGCCAUAGAUCACGCCUGUAAUCCCAGCACUUUGGGAGGCAGAGGCAUGCAGAUCACCUGAGGUCAAAAGUUUGAGACCAGCCUGGCCAACAUGGCGAAACCCCAUCUCUACAAAAAUUUGCCAGGUGGUGUACACCUGUAAUCCCAGCUACUCAGAGGCUGAGGCAGGAGAAUUGCUUGAACCCAGGAGGCGGAGGCUGCAGUGAGCUGAGAUCGUGGCACUGCACUCCAGCCUGGAUGACAGAGCGAGACCCUGUCUCAAACAAAAACAAA
rnacentral:lncRNA from 1 species